rnacentral:rRNA from 1 species
AUACGGAGGAUCCGAGCGUUAUCCGGAUUUAUUGGGUUUAAAGGGUGCGCAGGCGGGAGAUUAAGUCGGCGGUGCAAUUUUGCAGCUCAACUGUAAAAGUGCCUUUGAAACUGGGUUCCUUGAGUGUAGAUGAAGUAGGCGGAAUUUGUGGUGUAGCGGUGAAAUGCAUAGAUAUCACGAGGAACUCCGAUUGCGCAGGCAGCUUACUAAACUACUACUGACGCUCAGGCACGAAGGCGUGGGGAUCAAACAGGAUUAGAUACCCUGGUAGUCCACGCAGUAAACGAUGAUUACUAGCUGUUUGCGAUACAAUGUAAGCGGCUGAGCGAAAGCGUUAAGUAAUCCACCUGGGGAGUACGUUCGCAAGAAUGAAACUCAAAGGAAUUGACGGGG